rnacentral:snoRNA from 1 species
AGGCACUGUCUUGGAACCUCUGUGUGUCUGACCUGUGGCCUCAGGGUCUAGAGACAUUGCCAGAGCAGAUGGAGCUUGUUCACAUCCAGACAUCCAGGGCUGCUUGAAGUUACCUAAGUGAUUCCUUUAGCUGCAAGCGCCAGUC